UUAUUGAAUAAACCUGAUGGGCUGUUGCUGGUUCUCUAGGGAGCAUGUGCACGCCUUGUCAUUUUUAUGUCUCCACCUGUGCACCUUUUGUAGACCUUUCCAGGUCUAUGUUGCUUCAUUUACCCCUAAUGUAUGUUAAUAGAAUGUUGUGCCUGUAUAAUACAUACAACUUUCAGCAACGGAUCUCUUGGCUCUCGCAUCGAUGAANAACGCAGCGAAAUGCGAUAAGUAAUGUGAAUUGCAGAAUUCAGUGAAUCAUCGAAUCUUUGAACGCACCUUGCGCUCCUUGGUAUUCCGAGGAGCAUGCCUGUUUGAGUGUCAUUAAUAUAUCAAACUUCUCUUCUUUUGUAGAGAGUGGUUUUGGAUGUGGGGGCUUGCUGGGCCUUCUUGAAAAAGUUCAGCUCCCCUGAAAUGCAUUUAGCAGAACAACUUCUGUUCAUUGGUGUGAUAACUAUCUACGCUAUUGAACAUGAGGGGGACAGUUCAGCUUUCUAACCGUCCUUGGACAAAAUUCAUCAUUAAUGUGACCUCAAAUCAGGUAGGACUACCCGCUGAACUUAAGCAUAUCAAUAAGCGGA
rnacentral:rRNA from 1 species